CAACCCUCGAGCCCCUCCGGGGGGUCGGCGUUGGGGAUCGGCCUUCCCGCCCUCGCGGCGGUUUCGCCGGCCCCGAAAUGCAGUGGCGGUCUCGCCGCAGCCUCUCCUGCGCAGUAGUUUGCACACUCGCAACGGGAGCGCGGCGCGUCCACGGCCGUAAAACAACCCAAACUUCUGAAA
rnacentral:misc_RNA from 1 species